rnacentral:rRNA from 1 species
GCGGCGGACGGGUGAGUAAUGCUUAUGAAUCUGCCUAUUAGUGGGGGACAACAUUCCGAAAGGAAUGCUAAUACCGCAUACGCCCUACGGGGGAAAGCAGGGGAUCUUCGGACCCUUGCGCUAAUAGAUGAGCCUAAGUCAGAUUAGCUAGUUGGUGGGGUAAAGGCCUACCAAGGCGACGAUCUGUAGCGGGUCUGAGAGGAUGAUCCGCCACACUGGGGCUGAGACACGGCCCAGACUCCUACGGGAGGCAGCAGUGGGGAAUAUUGGACAAUGGGCGAAAGCCUGAUCCAGCCAUGCCGCGUGUGUGAAGAAGGCCUUUUGGUUGUAAAGCACUUUAAGCGAGGAGGAGGCUACCGAGAUUAAUACUCUUGGAUAGUGGACGUUACUCGCAGAAUAAGCACCGGCUAACUCUGUGCCAGCAGCCGCGGUAAUACAGAGGGUGCGAGCGUUAAUCGGAUUUACUGGGCGUAAAGCGUGCGUAGGCGGCUUUUUAAGUCGGAUGUGAAAUCCCUGAGCUUAACUUAGGAAUUGCAUUCGAUACUGGGAAGCUAGAGUAUGGGAGAGGAUGGUAGAAUUCCAGGUGUAGCGGUGAAAUGCGUAGAGAUCUGGAGGAAUACCGAUGGCGAAGGCAGCCAUCUGGCCUAAUACUGACGCUGAGGUACGAAAGCAUGGGGAGCAAACAGGAUUAGAUACCCUGGUAGUCCAUGCCGUAAACGAUGUCUACUAGCCGUUGGGGCCUUUGAGGCUUUGGUGGCGCAGCCCACCCGA